AUUGAACGCUGGCGGCAGGCCUAACACAUGCAAGUCGAACGAGCGGCGGACGGGUGAGUAAUGUAUGGGAAUCUGCCCGAUAGAGGGGGAUAACUACUGGAAAGGGAGGCUAAUACCGCAUACUAUCGGAUGAACCCAGAUGGGAUUAGCUAGUGGGUGGGGUAAAGGCUCACCUAGGCGACGAUCUCUAGCUGGUCUGAGAGGAUGAUCAGCCACACUGGGACUGAGACACGGCCCAGACUCCUACGGGAGGCAGCAGUGGGGAAUAUUGCACAAUGGGCGCAAGCCUGAUGCAGCAAUGCCGCGUGGAUGAAGAAGGUCUUAGGGUUGUAAAGUACUUUCAGUGGGGAGGAGGUACCCUCAGAAGAAGCACCGGCUAACUCCGGGCCAGCAGCCGCGGUAAUAC
rnacentral:rRNA from 1 species